GGCCGACGAGAGACCCUCGGACCUCAGUUUGGAACAGAAAGUAAAAUCCGAGAAAACGAAAGGAAAAAAAGAAAACAUCAACGACAAUGGGAGAAGAAGAAAUUAAGGAAGUUGAGAAUCCGAGGUCGAUGACGAAGGACCAGUUCCUUUCCUGGAAACGCCAGAAGGAUGAUGAUGCAUCUGCCAGAAGAGCUGAAGCAGAGAGGAAACGCGCAGAGGACAUUGCUGCAGGGUCAGUGCCAAUGAAUGGCCGAGAGCUUUUCGUGCACGAACCUUGGGUUUUUGAUAACACUAUUUAUUGAGGUACCUAAAAGGCAUCUGAGCUUUGGAAGGUGCAGAGCUGUGAUGCGGAGGAUCAGCUAUGGUCAUGUACCAAAACCCCAAUGGAGUCGAGAGCUGUGUAGCAGAAUUGACACUCUGGGGAUAGAAGAGAACAGCUGGUUGCUGGUUGAGGUAGGAUGGCCUCUGGUUCUCACCACCUAGGCCUGCCAUCAUCUGCUCACAGAAAACAAGUUGUAUACAACAGUAGUAUCAAUUUUAUCAAAUUUCUUGGUGAAGUAAAAUGAAACUGAUUGUUUGGGAACUGAUUUCCGCACAUCCAUUUUCUCUUUCUGCACACUCCUGUUCGUUUCUGUCUAUACCUUCUAUUUUGAUUUAUUCAAUCUAAUGACCAUAAAUAAACAGAGCAGUGUGUUCAGGGGGAA